rnacentral:tRNA from 1 species
GCCUGGGUGGCUCAGUCAGUUAAGCGUCUGACUUUGGCUCAGGUCAUGAUCUCACAGUUCGUGGGUUCGAGCCCCGCGUCAGGCU